GUUGUAUCAUUUAUAGAUUUGGGGCACGGGCCUUGGUUAGGGACUCUCUGAUAGAAUUGUGUCUAUGGGAAAAUCAGAAUAAAUUUUCAACAUUUCCAAGUAAUAUGUUUUUUUUCUGGAAUAUUCUUUGCUAUGAGUGUAGGGUCUACUUAUAUUUUUUCCUUUUUUUUUUUUUUAUUUACUUAUUUUGGGGACAGAGAGAGACAGAGCAUGAACGGGGGAGGGGCAGAGAGAGAGGGAGACACAGAAUCAGAAACAGGCUCCAGGCUCCGAGCCAUCAGCCCAGAGCCUGACGCGGGGCUCGAACUCACGGACCGCGAGAUCGUGACCUGGCUGAAGUCGGACGCUUAACCGACUGCGCCACCCAGGCGCCCCGGGUCUACUUAUAUUUUAAGUGCAUAUCAUUAUUAUGUUCAGAAUAACAGAUCCGUCUAGUCAAAUCAGUGACUGGAAAUAGUUAACACCAAUCGAGAAACAAAAUUAUCCCCGUUACAAAAGGCAACGUUGGAGGAGUGCCAUUGGUUUCACUAAAUGAAAGGCAUUUGCAAUACAAAAGAAGAAACAAAGAAACUAAUGGUCAACCAUGGUAAAGGUCACAGACUAGGAAGCAGCAGGAUUCUAGCCAAAAUGAGAAUAUGAUAAUGUACAUUUACAGAAUUUGCUUCCAACUGAUGCUUCUGCUUCCAAACCCGUACAAAACGUGGAAGUUUUGGUGACGAUGGCCAAGCAGCUUUUCUGGCUGUGAAUACCAUGCUGGGAGAGAACAGCAGCAGCUUCAUGGAUCGCAUUGCCUGCUCCCGGAAUGCGUGCCUGCCACACUGGAUGCCGUCGUGGACACCGGUGAUACUCAUCUUAAAGGCUCCCCCCCACCCCCCGCAAACUUUAAUCUAUAUAAACAUUCAGGUCAUGUCUAAACAUUUUUGGGUAUAUUUUCUAAGACAUAUUACAAUGUUAUUUAAAAGUGGCACCCGAGGGUGAUGUGUGAAGGUUCGGUCAGAGAAAACAAUAAGGACCUGUUGCAGGGCAUCAGCUUGUGGUUGCGGAGGCUGCUUUGGCAAGUCCAAAGUCUGUAGUGCAGGCAGGAACUCUCAGCCAUGAAUGGAAGCUGCUGUCCACAGAUGGAAUUUGGGGGGGGGGGGAAGUUGCAUUUAUUUUUAUUAAAAAAAAUUUUUUUUACUGUUUAUUUUUGAGAGAGACAGAGUGAGCGUGGGGGAGGGGCAGCGAGAGCGAGAGGGAGACACAGAAUUCGAAGCAGGAAGCAGGAUCCAGGCUCUGAGCCAUCCGCCCAGAGCCCCACGCGGGCUCGAACUCACGGACCUUGAGAUGGUGACCUGAGCCGAAGUCGGAUGCUUAACCGACUGAGCCACCCAGGCGCCCCGAUGCUAAAAUUUUUAAAAAUGUUUUUAUUUUUGAGAAGAGAGAGACAGGGCAUGAGCGGGGGAGGGGUAGACAGAGGAAGACAGAGAAUCUGAAGCAGGCUCCAGGCUCUGAGCCAUCCGCCCAGAGCCCCACGCGGGCUCGAACUCACGGACCUUGAGAUGGUGACCUGAGCCGAAGUCGGAUGCUUAACCGACUGAGCCACCCAGGAGCCCCCUCUAAAGGCCCUUUUACUGAUGGAAUCAAGCCCAUCCAAGUCAUCCAGAAUAAUCUCCCUUUAGGUUGGCGAAUUAUAGACUUUAAUCAUAUCUACAAAAUACUUUUGUAGCAACACAGAGAUCCAUAUUUGAUUGAAUAACAGACGAUGGCCUAGCAGAGGUGACUCAUAAAGCUCAUCACAGGUGAGAAUUACCUCUGUGAUCACAGAGUAUCACUGUUUAUUUCAUAUUCAUAUGGAGACAGCAUUUGGCUUAAAAGUCAGCGGCUGUAUGCAAAUCAACCAUUUUUUUUUUUUAAACAGUGCAUGAUGCAAAAUUAAAUGGAAGACCUUGUUAUACAAGGCCCACCAAACUUGCAAACACUGCUGCUGCUGCGGCUAUGGGGGUAGGUCUCUUUACCAGGCACUUUGACUAUGCUCCAUGAAAAGGUACAUAGAGCAAACUCACUCCAAGCAUGGCUAGAAAAAUUUGGCCCAUUCCCUGCCUUGUUCUUAACAAGACAUUGAAGACAUUUUAUUUUUUUUAAGCUUAUUUAUUUUGAGAGAGAGAGAGAGAGAAAAGCACGUGCAAGCGGAGGAGGGGUAGAGAGAGAGGAAGACAGAGGAUCCGAAGUAGGCUCUGUGCUGACUUGAGAGAGCCAGAUGUGGGGCUCGAACCCCCUCAUCGUGAGAUCAUGACCUGAGCCAAAGUCGAUGCUUAACCGACUGAGCCACCCAGGCGCCCCGAAGAUACUUUGAAAAUAGGCUACUGUAGUUCUCAAACUUUUUGGUCUCAGGACCUUCAUAUGCAUCAAAAUUACCGAGGACCUUAGGGCUUUUGUUUCUAUGGGUUGUGUCUUAGUUUGGGCUGCUAUAGGCGCACUGAACUCUCUCCAGGGAGCUGCAGACUGUGUACCAUUCGGGUAGGGGUGUUUGCCCUUGGAAGCUCAUCUGAGGAGCUUCUCCCACCCCGGAAGUGCACGGACUCCAGCUUAGGAGUGUUUGGGCAGGGGUCUGAUCUCUUUUAUGUAGCAGUGGAUAAACGGCUUUUCUGAUACUAAGACAUAGGAACAAAACAGAUAGGAAGAAAGGUAGGAACCGUGGAGGGAAGGAAGGACAGAAUUAAAAAGUGGUUUACUUAGUAAAGAUCUUCAUCUUAAUGCUUGAAAGACCAAAACCAUUUAAGAGGGAAACUUGCUAAUCUUUUGCUGUAUGCAUAAAGAUUGUAAGUAAAAGAAUCAUCCCUUUAAAAGAACUUAUUGCAUAAAUUAGAUGUCUGCAAUAGGAAGACAGAAGUGCUAUGUAUUUAUUUGUAUUCUAUAACGCCGGUAAGCAAUCAUGUGGGAGCGGGGUGGAAACGGUCACCUGCAGAAUAAAAGCAGUAACCUGUUAUCA
ensembl:lncRNA